rnacentral:rRNA from 1 species
CCUACCGGAGGUGCUGGUGGGGAAUUUCGCCCAAUGGGCGCAAGCCUGAUGCAACCAUGCCGCGUGUCAGAAGAAGGCCUUCGCCUUGAAAAACACUUUCAUUCAUGAGGAAAGG